GUACCGUGAGGGAAAGGUGAAAAGAACCCCGAGAGGGGAGUGAAAAGAACAUGAAACCCUGUGCCUACAGUGAGUAGAAGGGCCGUGAUGUGUGGCCUGACUGCGUGCCUGUUGAAGAAUGAGCCGGUGAGUCAUGGUGCCUGGCUAAGGUUAAGGCAUAAAAGUCGGAGCCGGAGUGUAAGCGAGCCUUGCUGGCGAUUUGGUCAGCCACCAUGAACCCGAACCCGGAUGAUCUAACCAUGCCCAGGGUGAAGCUUAAGUAAUAUUAGGCGGAGGCCCGAACCGGUUGAUGCGGCAAAAUCAUCGGACGAGGUGUGGUUAGGGGUGAAAUGCCAAACGAAUCCGGAGCUAGCUGGUUCUCCCCGAAAUGUGUUGAGGCACAGCCACCCAUGAAGAAGCUGGGGGUAAAGCACUGUUUCGGUGCGGGCCGGCCUAGCCGGUACCAAAUCGAGGCAAACUCUGAAUACCAGUCUUUUCAAGCAUGGGAUGAGUCAGGCGUUGGGGGAUAAGCUCCAGUGCCGAGAGGGCAACAGCCCAGACCACCAGCUAAGGCCCCUAAAUGAUCGCUCAGUGUAAAAGGUGGUGGGGACGCAAGGACAGCCAGAAGGUUGGCUUAGAAGCAGCCAUCCUUUAAAGAGUGCGUAA
rnacentral:rRNA from 1 species